rnacentral:lncRNA from 1 species
ACCCAUAAAGUUUUUUGACCUACCAUUAUUUUUAUAACUUGAUUCUAGUUAAGAUGACGCUUGAUUUCAUAUAAUUCCACUGCACCGAAAUGAUAGAAGAAAAUUAAACGAGUUAAGAAUUCAUCACGUACGGCAUAUGGCAUUGCGUGAGAUUCAUUUCAUGGAUGAAUUAUGAAGCCAGUGGUGACUGAGCAAAAUCAAUCAUGGAGCCAGUUAAAUUGAAUUUACGAUGAUGAUAAUUCGACCACGUGGCCAGAGUUUAGUGGGAUCUAAAGAAUAAAAUAACGCCGACGUACUUAAUUAAGUUGCAUUACUUUAAUAUUAGCAAGAAAAGUUAAAAGACAUAAAAGUGGACAAUGAUUUCAUACAAUAUUGACCCUUUUUUUUUUAACCCCUGGGGCUAUUGAUACUUCCAGAUUUUAUGAUAUUACUUUCUAUGUGUCUUUUAUAAUGAUUACAAUGAUUUUUAUGAAAUAUUUCUCUUGUGUUACAUAUGAAGCAAAGGUUUGUUUAGUAUCCUUAUUUAUGUAUAAUGUAUUUUAUAGGAAUGAACCUCACAACGCCAUGCAUUCAUAUUUAUUGGUAAAAGAGGGAAAAAAAAAGGUUAUUUUCAGUCAUGACCACCCUCAAUCAUAUAUGCAUCGAGAACUCCCAUAUAAAUAUAUAUCUAUAAGAUGAAGAAUUCAGCUAAUUAGUUUCACAUACUCUCUUUAUUAUUCACUGCAUCUUCUUCUCAUUUUAUGUUUAUAAUUUAUAAAACCAAAAAUAAUGUUAAAAGCAAAAAGAAAUGUUCCACAUGUAAAAGUUUACUACAAAUUAAUACGUGAAAUUUUAACGUCAAAGCCCUCAUUUCUUUUGUCUUUUUAUUUUAUUUUAUUUUGACCACGAGGUAUCUUGGGAAGGACUCCAACUGUGAGAGGCACCUUUAAGUCUGUACCACAACUAAGAUUAAAAGUCCCCGCUCAAACUGACAAGCACAAAUUUUUCCAACAAAAAUGACUUUUCUGCGACUCGAACUGAUGAAUAAACUCAAUCAAACUACUUAAAGAAGGCUAAUGCUAAGUUACAUGUAUGUAACUUACAACCCUCUCACAUGAAUAGUGAGUGGUGGGCUCAUUUACUAUUUAUGUAAAAAGAUUAUAAGUUAUAUGCAUGUAACUUAAAAAAAUCUCUUAAAAAAACUCCAUUAUCAAUGGGGCCAAUAUUUUAUUGGUUUGUCUUUCUAUUUUCUCUCAGUUCUUGUUUCCUCUUAGACUUAUUCUUUUUUUUUUUUUAUAGGAUCUUAGACUUAUUCUUAGUAUUUGGUUAGUGCUCGUCGGCUUUAAGCAAUACGAACUAACUAAGCAAAGACCACUUUUCAUUUAGAGUUAUUAACUAUCAAAGUAAUCAACAGUAAAAAAAUAUUUUUAUUGUAGUCGGACCAAUAAAAAAUAGUUUUAUGUCAGAGAAGAGAUUAAAAAAAAAAGGGUGACGGCCGACAAAAGAAACAGGUGAGAAGAUAAUUGUUGUUCAUUGGGCACCGGGCAGGCGGCAAUAGAAAAGUCAAGUGAGAGUGGUGGGGGCUUAGAUCUUAUGAGCCACACACGUUUCACUUUCCUAUUCAUAAAUCAUAACGUUCACCUUUUUUCUUUUCUUCUUUAAUUCUGCAGAGUACAAUUUUUGGAAUCACGAGGUGAAGUGAAACUGUGGAACAAACACCACGCCCCCUAUCAUUUCGUUAAUUUGGGUCGGAAAAAAAUUUUGAUUAAUCACGACGCAUAAUCACAUAAUUAGGUCUGUUCCUUAUCAGCAGCAUUCAUGCAUGCAAGCAACCAUGAAGGUAGAGCCGGUAAAAUUUGACACGAUUCAAUUAUUUGAUACGAACACGACAUAAAUAAAUGGGUAUGGGUAGUCAAAUUUAAUACGAUUAUUAAAUGAGUCGGGUCUGGAUCAACACGAUUUUUUUUCGUGUCGGGUUUGUGUUAAAAUUCUUGACCCAUUUACCCGAUCAAUGACCCGAUUAUAUUUUCUAUUUUAAAAUAAUUUACAUAUUCU